rnacentral:rRNA from 1 species
UGGGCUCAAACCUAAAGAACCCAAAAAUCUAAACGGAGAAAUUCAAUACUGCCCAAAAAGUAGUGUGCACUUUUCUCUUAGUAAGACGCCGUGAUCCAUUAGAAAUUGAUGUACGUCAAGUGCAUAUUGGGCCAUCAAUAGGCCGAUAUGAAGUUUAUUUGGAACAAAUGGCACAUUCUUUUACGGGUGUGUGUAUUGUCUGGUAAGCGUAUCGAUACCUGUAAUGGCUGUCUGAUGGAUUUUAAGGACCAUUUAUCAUUGAUGUUACGGCAUCACUCGCUUUUAUUAGCGAGUAUUUACGAUAUGUGUCUGAUCAACGGCGGUUAAAUUUGGGAUACCUUUUGGACCCGUCUUGAAACACGGACCAAGGAGUCUAUCUAGUAUGCGAGUAAAUGGAUAGUUUAUGAAAUCUAUUUGCAUAAUAAACGUGACUGUUAUUUGAAAUGGGAUUACGAUUAAUAAUCAGCAAUGAUUAUUUUUCUUCCAUCCCGGGGUAUUUUUGUCAACAUAUGCGCAAGUAUAUGGAAAAUAUACCAUGAGCACACUGGAUACGACCCGAAAGAUGGUGAACUAUGCCUGAUCAGGUUGAAGUCAGGGGAAACUCUGAUGGAGGACCGAAGCAGUUCUGACGUGCAAAUCGAUUGUCAGAAUUGGGCAUAGGGGCGAAAGACCAAUCGAACCAUC